rnacentral:rRNA from 1 species
CGGUAAUACGGGAGAUCCAAGCGUUAUCCAAGGUCUUAAGGCUCGAGAGAUCCGUAGGCGGUCAGAUAAGUCUCAAAUAGGGACCCAUCGCUCAACGGUGGAACGGCCAUUGAUACUGUCUGACUUGAAUUAUUAGGAAGUAACUAGAAUAUGUAGUGUAGCGGUGAAAUGCUUAGAGAUUACAUGGAAUACCAAUUGCGAAGGCAGGUUACUACUAAUUGAUUGACGCUGAUGGACAGGGACGUGGGUAGCGAACAGGAUUAGAUACCCUGGUAGUCCACGCCGUAAACGAUGGAUACUAGCUGUUGGGAGCAAUCUCAGUGGCUAAGCGAAAGUGAUAAGUAUCCCACCUGGGGAGUACGUUCGCAAGAAUGAA